AUUGAACGCUGGCGGCAGGCCUAACACAUGCAAGUCGAGCGAGAAAGCACUUCGGUGUGAGUAAAGCGGCGGACGGGUGAGUAACGCGUAGGAAUCUACCUGGUAGUGGGGGACAACUCGGGGAAACUCGAGCUAAUACCGCAUACGCCCUUUGGGGGAAAGCGGGGGAUCUUCGGACCUCGCGCUAUCAGAUGAGCCUGCGUCGGAUUAGCUUGUUGGUGAGGUAAAGGCUCACCAAGGCGACGAUCCGUAGCUGGUCUGAGAGGAUGAUCAGCCACACUGGGACUGAGACACGGCCCAGACUCCUACGGGAGGCAGCAGUGGGGAAUAUUGCGCAAUGGGCGAAAGCCUGACGCAGCCAUGCCGCGUGUGUGAAGAAGGCCUUAGGGUUGUAAAGCACUUUCAAUAGGGAGAAAAGGCGUACAGUUAAUAGCUGUGCGAGUUGAUGUUACCUAUAGAAGAAGCACCGGCUAACUCCG
rnacentral:rRNA from 1 species